rnacentral:tRNA from 1 species
CUGCCUGUAGCGCAAUGAAUAGCGCGUUGGACUUCUAAUCCAAAGGGUGUGGGUUUGAAUCCUACCUGGUAUG